UACAGAGGUCUCAAGCGUUGUUCGGAUUCAUUGGGCGUAAAGGGUGCGUAGGUGGCGCGGUAAGUCGGGUGUGAAAUCUCGGAGCUUAACUCCGAAAUUGCAUUCGAUACUGCCGUGCUUGAGGACUGGAGAGGAGACUGGAAUUCAUGGUGUAGCAGUGAAAUGCGUAGAGAUCAUGAGGAAGACCAGUGGCGAAGGCGGCUCUCUGGGACGGUACUGACGCUGAGACGCGAAAGCGUGGGGAGCGAACAGG
rnacentral:rRNA from 1 species